UACGAAGGGGGCUAGCGUUGCUCGGAAUCACUGGGCGUAAAGGGUGCGUAGGCGGGUCUUUAAGUUGGGGGUGAAAUCCCGGGGCUCAACUCCGGAAUUGCCUUUGAAACUGGGGAUCUUGAGUUCGGGAGAGGUGAGUGGAACUCCGAGUGUAGAGGUGAAAUGCGUAGAUAUUCGGAGGAACACCAGUGGCGAAGGCGGCUCACUGGGCCGAUACUGACGCUGAGGCACGAAAGCGUGGGGAGCAAACAGG
rnacentral:rRNA from 1 species